UCUUUCAAUUUCCCUAUAACUGAUGAACUCCUUAUGUGUACAUAUUUGUAGCUAUUUUCCUUUCCUCUCCCCUUUUAGAACUGCCUCUGCACUUGCACACUCUCUUAGUAUUUAAGUUCUGCACCCCCCCCCCUUGUAAGUCUUGCCUUGGGACCCUUGAGCUCCCUCUAAACUUGGACACUUGAGGGCUAGCCCUUCCACAC
rnacentral:lncRNA from 1 species